rnacentral:rRNA from 1 species
GAUGAACGCUGGCGGCGUGCCUUAAGCAUGCAAGUCGAGCGGAUGAGGGAAGCUUGCUUCCCGAUUUAGCGGCGGACGGGUGAGUAAUGCCUAGGAAUCUGCCUAUUAGUGGGGGAUAACGUUCCGAAAGGAACGCUAAUACCGCAUACGUCCUACGGGAGAAAGUGGGGGAUCUUCGGACCUCACGCUAAUAGAUGAGCCUAGGUCGGAUUAGCGAGGUGGUGGGGUAACGGCUCACCAAGGCGACGAUCCGUAGCUGGUCUGAGAGGAUGAUCAGCCACACUGGAACUGAGACACGGUCCAGACUCCUACGGGAGGCAGCAGUGGGGAAUAUUGGACAAUGGGCGAAAGCCUGAUCCAGCCAUGCCGCGUGUGUGAAGAAGGUCUUCGGAUUGUAAAGCACUUUAAGUUGGGAGGAAGGGUUGUAAGCUAAUAUCUUGCAGCUUUGACGUUACCAACAGAAUAAGCACCGGCUAACUCUGUGCCAGCCGCCGCCGUAA